UACGGAGGGCGCAAGCGUUGUUCGGAAUUACUGGGCGUAAAGCGCAUGUAGGCGGCCUGGAAAGUCGGGUGUGAAAUCCCGGAGCUCAACUUCGGAACUGCAUCCGAUACUGCCAGGCUCGAGUCUCGGAGAGGAUGGCGGAAUUUCAGGUGUAAAGGUGAAAUUCGUAGAUAUCGGAAGGAACACCAGUGGCGAAGGCGGCCGUCUGGACGAUGACUGACGCUGAGAUGCGAAAGCGUGGGGAGCAAACAGG
rnacentral:rRNA from 1 species